rnacentral:rRNA from 1 species
AGCGGCGGACGGGUGAGUAACACGUGGGUAACCUGCCCAAGAGACUGGGAUAACACCUGGAAACAGAUGCUAAUACCGGAUAACAACACUAGACGCAUGUCUAGAGUUUGAAAGAUGGUUCUGCUAUCACUCUUGGAUGGACCUGCGGUGCAUUAGCUAGUUGGUAAGGUAACGGCUUACCAAGGCAAUGAUGCAUAGCCGAGUUGAGAGACUGAUCGGCCACAUUGGGACUGAGACACGGCCCAAACUCCUACGGGAGGCAGCAGUAGGGAAUCUUCCACAAUGGACGAAAGUCUGAUGGAGCAACGCCGCGUGAGUGAAGAAGGGUUUCGGCUCGUAAAGCUCUGUUGGUAGUGAAGAAAGAUAGAGGUAGCAACUGGCCUUUAUUUGACGGUAAUUACUUAGAAAGUCGCGGCUAACUACGUGCCAGCAGCCGCGGUAAUACGUAGGUGGCAAGCGUUGUCCGGAUUUAUUGGGCGUAAAGCGAGUGCAGGCGGUUCAAUAAGUCUGAUGUGAAAGCCUUCGGCUCAACCGGAGAAUUGCAUCAGAAACUGUUGAACUUGAGUGCAGAAGAGGAGAGUGGAACUCCAUGUGUAGCGGUGGAACGCGUAGAUAUAUGGAAGAACACCAGUGGCGAAGGCGGCUCUCUGGUCUGCAACUGACGCUGAGGCUCGAAAGCAUGGGUAGCGAACAGGAUUAGAUACCCUGGUAGUCCAUGCCGUAAACGAUGAGUGCUAAGUGU